ACCAGACUCCUACGGGAGGCAGCAGUGGGGAAUAUUGCACAAUGGGGGGAACCCUGAUGCAGCGACGCCGCGUGGGUGAAGGAGCACCUCGGUGCGUAAAGCCCUCUCGGCAGGGAAAAAAAGCGAACAGGUUCGCCUGGACGGUACCUGACUAAGAAGCCCCGGCUAACUACGUGCCAGCAGCCGCGGUAAUACGUAGGGGGCAAGCGUUAUCCGGAUUCACUGGGUGUAAAGGGAGCGUAGACGGCGGCGCAAGUCUGGAGUGAAAGCCCGGGGCCCAACCCCGGGCAUGCAUUGGAAACUGGCGGGCUGGAGUGCCGGAGAGGUAAGCGGAAUUCCUAGUGUAGCGGUGAAAUGCGUAGAUAUUAGGAGGAACAUCAGUGGCGAAGGCGACUUUCUGGACUGUAACUGACGCUGAGGCACGAAAGUGUGGGGAGCAAACAGGAUUAGAUACCCCUGUA
rnacentral:rRNA from 1 species